rnacentral:rRNA from 1 species
AUGCGUCGCGGCGGGCGUCCGCGCCGCCCGAGCCCAGGAAUGGGGCGAGCUGUCUUGGCGCUCAUGAUGGGCGCGCUGCUCGGGCAACACAGCGGCAGCAGGGCCCUCCUCGCGGACCACGCACCGGCGGUGACGCUCUUCAGGCACCGCCGCUGCCGGCUGAGCCUGGCCAUCCACGAGGGCACCCGGGCGCCGCCGGCGUUCCUCAUCGAGCUGCCCAAGUUAGCGGCCGCGCUGCACAGGUAG